rnacentral:rRNA from 1 species
CAGUCGCCGCGGUAAUCCGUAGGUGGCAAGCGUUGUCCGGAAUUAUUGGGCGUAAAGGGCCCGCAGGCGGUUUCUUAAGUCUGAUGUGAAAGCCCCCGGCUCAACCGGGGAGGGUCAUUGGAAACUGGGAAACUUGAGUGCAGAAGAGGAGAGGGGAAUUCCACGUGUAGCGGUGAAAUGCGUAGAGAUGUGGAGGAACACCAGUGGCGAAGGCGACUCUCUGGUCUGUAACUGACGCUGAGGAGCGAAAGCGUGGGGAGCGAACAGGAUUAGAUACCCGUGUAGUCCCUGUCUCUUAUAC